rnacentral:sRNA from 1 species
GCUGGGUGUGGUGGCGCAUGCUUGUAAUCCCAGCAGCCUGGGAGACUGAGGCAGGAGGAUCACAAGUUCAAAGUCAGGCUCAGCAAAAGCAAUGCACUAAGUAACUCAGUGAGACUCCUGUCUCUA